AAAGCCCUAAAAAUAAAUCAAAAAGGAAAAAAAUGACAACAACCGGUUCCUAAAAAAGAGGUUUUAGAAUUGUUAAAAACCUCUAACGUGUCUGUUUUUUAUUGGUUCUUCUUGUCUCUCUCUCUCGCCUCUUCCUCUCUUGGUCGUGACUCUCUCAUUCGAAUCUGUCUGGUAAAUCAUUCUUCUACACAGCUCCCAAACCUUGAUUAUCUAUUCUUCAUCAUGUUUGAUUUCGUGGGUAUUAUCUCAAUUUAGGGAUUUUGAUUUUCUGAUUUGGGAAUUUAGGUUUCUUCCAAUUUGGGAAUAAGUCUAUGAAAAGAGACAUUCACACUUGUAUUGAGAGGAUCUUUGGUGGUUUCCCUGAAAAUCUUCAGAAAAGAGCUAAUUACACUUGCCUCUGCAAGGUUUCGAUCAAGGCACCAAGGUUCGUCUACUUCAUUCUCUCUCUUUCUCUGUAAUCAAAAAUCAAAAUAUGUCAGCUUUAUUUUCUAAGAAAUGAAUCUGCAAAAGGUCUGGAUAGAUAAAAGAACCGGUGGUGUUUACUUCUUUUCUGCCUAAUAUGUGUGUUGGUUUGAUUACUUUAUGUAAGCUCUUCAAAACUAUACUCUUUUCCUCCUGAAUUGGUUUGUUGAUCAUGUGGUUUUAUAUAGACCUCUUUUCAGUCAAAGUUAACAUUUUUUUCUUUGGGUCAAUCGAUUAAUUUUGAGUGAUAGAUGAGUAUUGAAGUACAUAGUCUUGUGGUUGCUCUUGUAUUGCAUUGUGUUUGUGUUUGUGUCUUGGUCAAUCGAUUAAUGUUAUUGUAUUGUGUUUGUGUCUUGGUGUUGUGUAUAUGUGGCAUUGUAAUGACAUUGGUUAUGCAAGUUUAAUGACACAAAUCUCUUGUGUUUUUCUAUUUUUCUUCAGAUAGAAGCCAUUGGUCUCGGUUAGGAUCUGUGUAGUUGAUUCCGGUUCAUGUUUGCUGUUUUAAUUAUACAGACAAAGGAACCAAAACAGGUUCAAGGGCGAGGAAGAAAAGGACAUGAUGUAGAAGUAGAACAUGAAGAAGAUGAUGCCACGACAUCUGAGCAACAGCCAAUUGAGAAACAAGCUGAGGAGUUCUCUGGAGAAUGGGAUACAAAUGUGCCUGAGCAGGCAGUGAUAGUAGUAAGUAACACACCAAAUAUGUUCUCGGGUCUUUGCAUUGUUUCUCCAUGGAUGAUUCCUUAACUUUAAGAAAUAACAGGGAGAGGAGCAAGGGAUGAAGGGAAUGAGAAAGCGGGUGGGCAGAGAAAAGGGCGUAGCGUGGGAAUCAUCAUAAUCAUCACCAUCAACAUCAAGUUGGAACACCACCUUCAAACCAUCCAAUGAGCAGCAUGGAGUAGCCAAAACAGCAACCACCGGGACCAAGGAUGCCUGAUGGGACCAGAGGAUUCUCGAUGGGAAGAGGAAAGCCAAUCACGGUUCAGGCAGACUGAUCCAGAGCUGAGUGAGUUGUGUGAUCAUGAGUCGUGUGUAUGAGCUAUUUUCAUAAUCAAGAUUAUAGCAAAACUAAAAAAUGAGAGUUUAUUGAUGAAUUUAAUUAUCCAGAAAAUAUAAAGAUUAUAGCAAAACUAAAUUUAAUAAUUCAAUUUCUAAAAAAUAAAAAUAAUAAUUAAGAACCUCAUAGGAGUUCUUCCAUUGGACCUUCUCAAAACUAAUUACAAUAUUAAGAGUUCUAAACUACUUAAAAUACACAAUUAAUAAUUAAAUUAACCUUAAGAACCCAUUAAAGGUUGUAACCAAUGGAGGUGGUCUUAUGUUGUUCUUUUCUUUUGGAGUGAAAAUUACUUUUAUAUAUAACAUCUCGUGAUGGUUAUAUAUUAUUGAUAAGCGUGCCAGUUUGUACAAUGAAUCACAUGGUUCAUGAAUAUGGUUUGUAAUAUUUGUUGUUUUUUUUUUUAAAUUUGUUUUCAGUUAUAAUAAUUUGUUCGUGUGAAUGUGAUUUAUUGUGUAUGUUAUUUAUAUAUAUUAAAACAUUCAAGAAGUGCUACGCCGAGUCGAUCCCAUAAUUUUUGUAGGUAAGAGAAAAGAGGUGUUUUUAAAUUUCUUCCCUACAUAAUCUCUACGUGUAUUAUUCAGUUAACACAAAAUUGUUAGAACUUUAGAUGUUGUAAAGGUACGACAUUAUAUUAUUCAACCUCAUCUCUUGUUAAAUAUGUUAAAUGUAUCCGUAUAUGUUCACUUGUAAAAACCUCAAAAGUUGUAGAGAUUAUUAGCUUAGGUUACUUAGAUUAGAAGUUAUUUUGACUUAGGUCUAGUAUUGAAAGUAAAGACAAAAACGAUUUAACGAAUUCCCGGCCAUCGACGCGGUAUGUCUCGUGGGAGAACUUCUGUUCCCAAAAUCCACUAGAUCAAAGAGACACUAGCUAACAACACCAAAUCAGUGUGAUAGAUAGAAUGUUUACAAAGAACCAAAUAAUCCAAGCUAGAGGAUACAACAAAGCCCUUAGAUAAUAGACUUAGGCCUAAGCUAUGUAUCUUGUAUUGUUGUCUCCUUCCUCUUGCUUAUUAACCUUUGAUUGAUCUGAUUCUUGUUGCCGUAAACCCUUAGUUUCCUUGAUGCUGCUUCACAACCAUAAUCAACCAUACUAACAUAUAUAUAUGCUUCAUAAGUGAUUAGGUUAUAACUGGAGUGGGCUUGCAUGCUUGCUGGCCCAGAAGAGAUGUUGCUGUCACUGGCCCAGGAGCUUUGCUGAGGCCCAAAACCUCACAAAUCUCCACCGUUUUGACUGAAGCCCAUAAGCCCAGCUCACUGCCUCUUCUGCCGACAACCCUACUCUGUCUCUUUGUUUGAAAGUCGAAGAAUCACUCUCGGCCGCUUCUCUCUCUCUCACCAUCUCGAAUCUUUGUCUCCUUCCGACGUUGAAUCCUCUCUGAGUGAGAUUCCGGUCGAUGGAGUCGUUAUGAUUACAUUUCUCUUCUCAAUUAACCUCAGGCACAUCUAGUCUCUCUCGUUGUUAGAGAUUAGGAUCAUCUGCAAAGUCAAUCGAAAGUUCUCAACUUGAGAUUCCGUUGAUUCUUCACCUCCUUCUAGCUUCUCUCUCUCUUUCCUCUCAACCCUCUUCGCUGCGAGUACUUGAAGCUUCACCGAGCUCCGUCGAGGGAGAUCUGUCUGCCAUGACGGUGCCGCUUCUCCUCCUUCUCUGUCCUCAGGUACAUCUACCUUCUCUCACGCUUCGAGAAGAUAUGAUAAUCUAUAAAGACAAGAAGAUGUCUGAUUUAGCGGUUUACUAACCCCUUUGUUUUCAGUUUUGCAAUGUCUCCUCCGGUGAGUGAUUCACCUCCUCCGACAUGUCUGUAGCUCCGAAGUGAGCUCCGUUUCAGAAGCGAUUGGGAUUCAUUGUCGCUUGUGCUCAUAUUUGAGCUAUGUCAUCAUGCUCCACCUCUUUCGUAAACCAAGUAAUCCCCUUUCUCAGCAAACCCUCUGUAAUCUGCUUAUCGUUUGUCGACCUGACUCCUCUGUGAUGUUUCAGGAGUCGCUUUAGCUCGAUGAUGAGCUGUCUCAGUUUCUAUCUUGAAACCCUUCCUCAAUCAGACAUUUGAUUCAGCUCCUUGAGUUGUUAACACACUACCACGUUCCGCUGGUAAGCCAUUCUAACAUGCUUCAUUGCUUCGUAACGUUUUUGAGUUUGUUACUCACACUGUAGCUCGUGGCUUGAUGUAGAUUAGCUGGUUCUGAGAUGUUGGUGAUGAUUUUCUGAUGUAUAUGACUCUGAGACUUGCCCACGACGACGCAUGGAGCUCUCUGAGUUUGUUUUUCCUCUACUCGGGAAUGUCUGGUGGCUCACGAUUACUCCACCUGAAUCGAGUACUCUUUCUCGAUUCUCAUUAUCCUCCAGGUGAUUCCUUGUUCUUUAUUGACACUCCCUGUUGACUUAGAUUCACAAUCGCACACAUACUGACCUCUUGUUUGUUGUCUGUUUUGUGCGAGGGUGGACCCGUUCAACUUGAAUCACCUGGAGUGCCCUGCGUCUCCUCAGUUCACAUUCAAAAGCUCACAGCAAAGCUGGAACUUCUGACCAGGUACCGUCUUAGUUAGGAAGUAUGAUGGAUUAACAUUAGUGUGUAUCUUGUUUAGGACAAUAUCCCCUGAUUACACUAGGUCUUGAAUGAAGUUGAACUUGGUAGCUAUAUGCUUUGUCUUUUCGUGAUUGACUGGAUUUCUUGCUAGAGCUAGGGCACUUUGAGAAUCGCAGUAGAGUUUGAUCCCCUGUUGUUUGAAACCUAGUUCAUCGCAUAUUUCUUUUAGCCACAUUGCUUCUUUAGCUGCUUCAUUCAUAGCCAUGUACUCUGCUUCUCUAGUAGAUAGGGCAACCACUGAUUGUAAACAUGACUUCCAUGAGAUAGUGUUACCUCCAAAUUUGAAUGCAUAUCCCGUAACUGAGCGCCUUCUGUCUAUGUCUGUUGCAUAAUCUGAGUCUGAGUAUCCUUCCACUAGGAGUGUAGAGUUCUUCUUGAAUGUUAAAUUCGAAUCAACUGCUCCCUUUAGGUACCUUAGAAUCCACUGAACAGCUUUCCAGUGUUCUCUUCCUGGUUUACUCAUGAAUCGGCAAAUAUAGCCUACUGCGAACCCUAGGUCAGGUCUGGAGCCUACCAUGGCGUACAUUAGGCUCCACACGGCGCUGGCAUAGGGAAUUCUUUCCAUCUGAGAAGCCUCCACUUUCCACUCGUCAUCUGUGAGACUUCUUAGUUUGAAAUAUGAUGCAGUAGGAGUAAUCACAGACUUAGCGUCCUGCAUUCCAAACGUCCUUAGGACUUUCUCAAUGUAUUUGCUCUGAGAUAGGAUCAGGUUUCCCUUCUCUCGAUCUCUGGUGAUAUCCAUGCCCAAGAUUCUUGAGGCCUUUCCCAUGUCCUUCAUCUCAAAUUCUCCACUCAGCUUUUCCUUCAGGUCUUUGAUCACCUUCUUAUUUCCUGAGGCAAUCAAGAUGUCAUCGACAUAUAGGAGUAGAUAGAUCUCCUUAUUAGUUUGAACAUCCCUCAUGUAGACACAUAGGUCCUUACUACAACGUUCAAAUAACUGAUCCUUCAUGAAGUUGUUGAACCGAUGGUUCCAUCUUCUUGGGGAUUGCUUCAAGCCAUACAGAGACUUCCUUAAUAGGCAUACUUUGUUCUCUAUCCUUGGCUUUAUGAACCCCCAGGCUGUUCUAUAAGGAUUCUUUCCUCUAGGCUUCCAUGUAGGAAAGCAAUUUUAACAUCCAUCUGUUCUAGUUCCAAAUUCAAAUUCACUACAAUGCUGAGCAUAAGUCUGAUAGAGACAUGUUUCACAACAGGUGAAAAUAUUUCAUUGUAGUCAAUCCCUUAUGUCUGAGAAUAUCCUUUAGCAACUAGUCUGCCUUUGUAUCGUUCAUCCUCAACACCUGGGAUUCCUGGCUUUAGCUUGAAUAGCCAUCUGCAUCCAACAAGAUUUGCCUUUGCAUGCCUAUUAAUGAGAUCCCAGGUUCUGUUCUUUCUAUGAUUCCAUUUCUUCUUCUGCUACCUGCUUCCAUAGUUUCUUUUCUCGGCUUCUCACAGCUUCUGCGUAGCUUUUUGGUUCCUGAACUUCAAAGUCCUCAAUUACAUUGAGAGCGUAAGCUACAAAAUUCCCAUCUUCAUAUCGUGAUGGUGGUCUCACGUUCUGUCUCCUUUCCCUAUCUUGUGCCAGAACAUAGGUGUCUAGAGUUUCAGUGUCACCACUCUCACUCUCAACCUCGUGAUCACUUUCACUAUCAACUUCGUGAUCUUGUUCUUGGUCACUUACACCUCCAUCAGAGGUUAUUAAGCAAGGGUUCUUAAGAGAAAAGCCCUAAAAAUAAAUCAAAAAGGAAAAAAAUGACAACAACCGGUUCCUAAAAAAGAGGUUUUAGAAUUGUUAAAAACCUCUAACGUGUCUGUUUUUUAUUGGUUCUUCUUGUCUCUCUCUCUCGCCUCUUCCUCUCUUGGUCGUGACUCUCUCAUUCGAAUCUGUCUGGUAAAUCAUUCUUCUACACAGCUCCCAAA
rnacentral:lncRNA from 1 species